CACAUCUCCACCAAGUCUCAAAACACAGGCCAUUAGCACUUUAUGUUGCCAGAGGCUUCAGUGGGAGUGCAGAACACAAGUUGCCCCUCCAAUGACUUGCUUACAUGGAGUUUGCCUGAUAGGCACUGAGAGCCAAAUGAGAUGAGUCCCACUUGUCACAUAUAUGACCCACUGGAGCCAGAAUCCUGCUUUCACAUUUUCAAGGAGCUCAAGUGAGCAGUAUUUAUACUAAGAAUUUAUGGAUAUAUAACUUAACAACCGAGACAUUGUUACUCUGCUUAUUCAACUACACUUGGAGCUAACAGAAGACCUUCUCUCCAACGCAUCUUUCUGUUGAGCUUAGAUCUGAAGACAUUGAAAAUAAUUGCAUUAAACUUGAUGAAAAUUUUUGCAAAAUUAAUACCUGAAGCUGAUUCUUCUUG
rnacentral:lncRNA from 1 species